rfam:Sus scrofa breed Duroc isolate TJ Tabasco Contig1914_1, whole genome shotgun sequence.
UUGGUGGGACCUCGGAGAGCGCAGCUGUGGGCGUCGGUGUCAUGUACACGCACAGCACCUCACUGAGCUCCCUCCAA